GUACUGGCAUUGUUGGUUUCUCCCUUCUGACGAAUCACGAUGUCAUUUAUUUGGUGUUGUGGGGAAUCAGGACUGUUACUUUGAAAAAAUUAGAGUCGUUUAAAGCAGGCUCGCGCUUGAAUACAUUAGCAUGGAAUAAUGAAAUAGGACGUUUGAUUCUAUUUUGUUGGUUUCUAGGAUCGACGUAAUGAUUAAUAGGGAUAGUUGGGGGCAUUAGUAUUCAAUUGUCAGAGGUGAAAUUCUUGGAUUUAUUGAAGACUAACUACUGCGAAAGCAUUUGCCAAAGAUGUUUUCAUUAAUCAAGAACGAAAGUUAGGGGAUCGAAGACGAUCAGAUACCGUCGUAGUCUUAACCAUAAACUAUGCCGACUAGGGAUCGGAUGAUGUUAAUUUUUUAAUGACUCACUCGGCGCCUUACG
rnacentral:rRNA from 1 species